CCAAUAGCGUAUAUUAAAGUUGUUGCAGUUAAAAAGCUCGUAGUUGAAUUUCGGGGUCAGUAGGUCGGUCGUGCCACUGGUAUGAACUGGUUUCACUGAUUCCUCCCUCUUGUAGAACCGUGAUGCCAUUAAUUUGGUGUUGCGGGGAAACAGGACUGUUACUUUGAAAAAAUUAGAGUGUUUAAAGCAAGCUAACGCUUGAAUACAUUAGCAUGGAAUAAUGAAAUAGGACGUCUGUCUUAUUUUGUUGGUUUCUAGGAUGGACGUAAUGAUUAAUAGGGAUAGUUGGGGGCAUUAGUAUUCAAUUGUCAGAGGUGAAAUUCUUGGAUUUAUUGAAGACUAACUACUGCGAAAGCAUUUGCCAAGGAUGUUUUCAUUAAUCAAGAACGAAAGUUAGGGGAUCGAAGACGAUCAGAUACCGUCGUAGUCUUAACCAUAAACUAUGCCGACUAGGGAUCGGAUGAUGUUAAUUUUUUAAUGACUCAUUCGGCGCCUUACG
rnacentral:rRNA from 1 species